rnacentral:rRNA from 1 species
GGUUAAGCGACUAAGCGUACACGGUGGAUGCCCUGGCAGUCAGAGGCGAUGAAGGACGUGCUAAUCUGCGAUAAGCGUCGGUAAGGUGAUAUGAACCGUUAUAACCGGCGAUUUCCGAAUGGGGAAACCCAGUGUGAUUCGUCACACUAUCAUUAACUGAAUCCAUAGGUUAAUGAGGCGAACCGGGGGAACUGAAACAUCUAAGUACCCCGAGGAAAAGAAAUCAACCGAGAUUCCCCCAGUAGCGGCGAGCGAACGGGGAGCAGCCCAGAGCCUGAAUCAGUGUGUGUGUUAGUGGAAGCGUCUGGAAAGGCGCGCGAUACAGGGUGACAGCCCCGUACACAAAAAUGCACAUGCUGUGAGCUCGAUGAGUAGGGCGGGACACGUGGUAUCCUGUCUGAAUAUGGGGGGACCAUCCUCCAAGGCUAAAUACUCCUGACUGACCGAUAGUGAACCAGUACCGUGAGGGAAAGGCGAAAAGAACCCCGGCGAGGGGAGUGAAAAAGAACCUGAAACCGUGUACGUACAAGCAGUGGGAGCACGCUUAGGCGUGUGACUGCGUACCUUUUGUAUAAUGGGUCAGCGACUUAUAUUCUGUAGCAAGGUUAACCGAAUAGGGGAGCCGAAGGGAAACCGAGUCUUAACUGGGCGUUAAGUUGCAGGGUAUAGACCCGAAACCCGGUGAUCUAGCCAUGGGCAGGUUGAAGGUUGGGUAACACUAACUGGAGGACCGAACCGACUAAUGUUGAAAAAUUAGCGGAUGACUUGUGGCUGGGGGUGAAAGGCCAAUCAAACCGGGAGAUAGCUGGUUCUCCCCGAAAGCUAUUUAGGUAGCGCCUCGUGAAUUCAUCUCCGGGGGUAGAGCACUGUUUCGGCAAGGGGGUCAUCCCGACUUACCAACCCGAUGCAAACUGCGAAUACCGGAGAAUGUUAUCACGGGAGACACACGGCGGGUGCUAACGUCCGUCGUGAAGAGGGAAACAACCCAGACCGCCAGCUAAGGUCCCAAAGUCAUGGUUAAGUGGGAAACGAUGUGGGAAGGCCCAGACAGCCAGGAUGUUGGCUUAGAAGCAGCCAUCAUUUAAAGAAAGCGUAAUAGCUCACUGGUCGAGUCGGCCUGCGCGGAAGAUGUAACGGGGCUAAACCAUGCACCGAAGCUGCGGCAGCGACGCUUAUGCGUUGUUGGGUAGGGGAGCGUUCUGUAAGCCUGUGAAGGUGUACUGUGAGGUAUGCUGGAGGUAUCAGAAGUGCGAAUGCUGACAUAAGUAACGAUAAAGCGGGUGAAAAGCCCGCUCGCCGGAAGACCAAGGGUUCCUGUCCAACGUUAAUCGGGGCAGGGUGAGUCGACCCCUAAGGCGAGGCCGAAAGGCGUAGUCGAUGGGAAACAGGUUAAUAUUCCUGUACUUGGUGUUACUGCGAAGGGGGGACGGAGAAGGCUAUGUUGGCCGGGCGACGGUUGUCCCGGUUUAAGCGUGUAGGCUGGUUUUCCAGGCAAAUCCGGAAAAUCAAGGCUGAGGCGUGAUGACGAGGCACUACGGUGCUGAAGCAACAAAUGCCCUGCUUCCAGGAAAAGCCUCUAAGCAUCAGGUAACAUCAAAUCGUACCCCAAACCGACACAGGUGGUCAGGUAGAGAAUACCAAGGCGCUUGAGAGAACUCGGGUGAAGGAACUAGGCAAAAUGGUGCCGUAACUUCGGGAGAAGGCACGCUGAUAUGUAGGUGAAGCGACUUGCUCGUGGAGCUGAAAUCAGUCGAAGAUACCAGCUGGCUGCAACUGUUUAUUAAAAACACAGCACUGUGCAAACACGAAAGUGGACGUAUACGGUGUGACGCCUGCCCGGUGCCGGAAGGUUAAUUGAUGGGGUUAGCGCAAGCGAAGCUCUUGAUCGAAGCCCCGGUAAACGGCGGCCGUAACUAUAACGGUCCUAAGGUAGCGAAAUUCCUUGUCGGGUAAGUUCCGACCUGCACGAAUGGCGUAAUGAUGGCCAGGCUGUCUCCACCCGAGACUCAGUGAAAUUGAACUCGCUGUGAAGAUGCAGUGUACCCGCGGCAAGACGGAAAGACCCCGUGAACCUUUACUAUAGCUUGACACUGAACAUUGAGCCUUGAUGUGUAGGAUAGGUGGGAGGCUUUGAAGUGUGGACGCCAGUCUGCAUGGAGCCGACCUUGAAAUACCACCCUU